rnacentral:sRNA from 1 species
CAUCAUCAUCAUGCUUUUCCUCCGUUGGGCGGGCUGGCAACCCCAACGCUGGAGUCAAUUGGCUCUGAGCAUCAUUCAAACCAUUUUCUCCAAAGCCGUGACGAGGACAGAGAUCUAAAAGGGUUGCAGACUCAAGCAACUCUUGCAUGGUGAUCGUCAAGCCCACUUGCAUACAUCUGCCCAGCAUCUGUAUUGCUGUGAGGGAGUCACCCCCAUGUGCUAAAAAUGACUUGUUCAUCUCAAUGUUGCCCAAGGGCAUUUUCAAAACUUCAGCGCAUAUCUUCCGAAGCUGCUCUUGGGCCUCGCUCGGCGGUUGAUGUAUCGGGGUGAUCUCAAGCGUCGCCAUCCUCACUGGUGUCUAUUUGAAGGCGGGAACGGGGGGAA